rnacentral:rRNA from 1 species
AACGUAGGAGGCGAGCGUUAUCCGGAUUUACUGGGCGUAAAGCGCGUGUAGGCGGCUCGGAAAGUUGGAUGUGAAAGCUCCCGGCUUAACUGGGAGAGGUCGUUCAAGACUACCGGGCUAGAGGGAGUGAGAGGGAAGUGGAAUUCCGGGUGUAGUGGUGAAAUGCGUAGAUAUCCGGAGGAACACCAGUGGCGAAAGCGGCUUCCUGGCACUCUCCUGACGCUCAGACGCGAAAGCUAGGGUAG